AGGGACAGGCCUUUCUUUUGUCAAGUGUGGGAAGGACUGUGUGAGCACAAGUUCAUUCUCCAGCAGGUGAAUUUUGGAAACAGUUCAUAUGGAAGACGAGGAUCUGGAAAUGAGUUCCCUUGAAACCAUCUGUACAGACAUGGCCCGUGGAACAUCCUUCUGUCCUCUCCCUGUUUGGAAGCUUCCACCCAGAGGUUCAGGGCCCAGGAGCUCUGUCUGAGAGAGCGCUAAGGGCAGAGGGUUUUCUUGGACCUGUUUUGUGUGCAAAGCACGUAUAAGUCAAAGCCUUUUUCCGCAAGUGAGGUUGGUUAAGCAGAGAAAAGACAGCGAGGUGUUUUGUUUGUCUGGAAUCCUAUGGGCUUGGAGGCACAAUCUGGUGUACAGCAGGCCAGAGGGUCUGGAGUUAGCUGUGAUAUCAGGUGUUCUAGAGAGACUCUUUUGGGUCUUUGGUGGCCAUUACCCUCUAAGCAUAGCUUCACAUGAUAGGAUGAAGUUUCUUUGCACUAACAGUGUCAGGAGCUGGAACUGGAGUUACAAGUCUAGUUUAAAGAGCUAUCCAAAGGUUUCCAUUUCUACUGGCUUGAGGGCAAAAGAGGUUGUUGGGGGGCUUGCCUUUGGCCUCUGAGCCCAAGGGAUUCCAAAUGAAUGCUCCGCAAAGGUAAGCCUGUAUCAUUCAGCUUUGUGCAUUCAUCCCCAUAGCUUGUGCAAGGCAGACAGUGUUCAAUAAAGAA
rnacentral:lncRNA from 1 species